rnacentral:ncRNA from 1 species
UGAUAGCUGUGAAGCGUGAGGUUGCUGGGUGUCAGCAAUGGCAGUCAGGUUUUCCGUGGAGCGAAUGUCAAGUUAGAAAACUGACGACAA